rnacentral:rRNA from 1 species
AACGAACGCUGGCGGCGUGCUUAACACAUGCAAGUCGAACGGUAAGGCCCUUCGGGGUACACGAGUGGCGAACGGGUGAGUAACACGUGGGUGAUCUGCCCUGCACUUCGGGAUAAGCCUGGGAAACUGGGUCUAAUACCGGAUAGGACCACUGCCUGCAUGGGUGGUGGUGGAAAGCUUUUGCGGUGUGGGAUGGGCCCGCGGCCUAUCAGCUUGUUGGUGGGGUGAUGGCCUACCAAGGCGACGACGGGUAGCCGGCCUGAGAGGGUGACCGGCCACACUGGGACUGAGAUACGGCCCAGACUCCUACGGGAGGCAGCAGUGGGGAAUACUGCACAAUGGGCGCAAGCCUGAUGCAGCGACGCCGCGUGAGGGAUGACGGCCUUCGGGUUGUAAACCUCUUUCAGCACUGACGAAGCGUAAGUGACGGUAGGUGCAGAAGAAGGACCGGCCAACUACGUGCCAGCCGCCGCAGUAA